AUGAGGCUGUCUGAUGCGAUUAACCGCUUAGUUAUCCGAACCAACAUUAUUAUAUAUCGGGAGCUGUCCCUUGACGGAUCGUGGUCCGUGAAUAUGGCACCCACCUUUUGAGAAGCGGUUCGAUACACAAGAAAGUCUAAACGGUCAGACGGCUUUGAU
rnacentral:other from 1 species